GAGAAGUGAAGAAGCUUCGUGGUAAGGAGAUUGCCUUGGUGAAAGUGAUAUGGGGCGGAGUCGCCAAUGGCAAUAUUACUUGGGAACUCGAGGGUAAGAUGAAGGAAUCGUAUCCGGAGUUAUUCGUUUGAGGUAUUUUCGAGGCCGAAAAUCUUUUAAGUGAGGGAGAGUUGUAACAACCCGACUUUUUAGUAUUUAAUUCUUAUAUUAUUAUUUCUAUAUUUUAUUUUAUUUAUUUGGAGUGUUAAUUAAUUAAUUGGUGGUUAGGUAGUAAUAAUUGAUUAUAUUAAUUAAUUUGGUGUGUUCAUUAAUUAUUUAGUUGAUAUGAGAUAUAAUGAAUAAUGGAAUUAAUUAACUUGGUGUGUAUAUUGAGUUGGUUUGAUUUAUUUGAAUUAAAUAGAGAUAUUUAAAUAUUAGAUCUUAUUGGGCCUAAUAAUUAAACUAGAGGUAUCACUCUUUAAGCCCAAAUAGAAUACUAGUAUAUAAGAGGUGAGGAGAGUGAGAAUUAGGAUUCA
rnacentral:lncRNA from 1 species